rnacentral:tRNA from 1 species
GCCUAUAGCUCAGUCGGUUAGAGCAGCGGACUCAUAAUCCGUUGGUCCACAGUUCGAGUCUGUGUG